GAGACCAACUCGGGCACAGCGCUUCACUGAGAUGUUGCGGUUUUAUCCAUCGGUGCAGAACGUCUAAUAUUUAUGUGAAAGGCCGUAAACAACCUCUUCUCAUCGAAGAGGCAGUACAGUAUCUAAAAUGAGUCACGAUAAGGGGAGAGAAGAGAAAGAUGUCAAGAGAGCAGGAUCUCCAGAACCAAACUGGAUGUCUAAGAAGAGUGACAGCUGUGCACAAAUUAACAUCAGCGAUGAACCGGCAAGGUUUGACCCAAGUGGUGGAAAGGAUCAUCUAUACCACAAUCAGUCUAGAUGUGGAGUUUGUGAGCAGGUUCCGAGAGACCCGGUCUCUAUCUCCUGUGGACACAGUUUCUGCAGACAGUGCAUCAAUACAUACUGGGAUCAGUCCAGACCAUCAGAAAACUAUGACUGUCCUCAGUGCAGAAAGACAUCUAGAACAUAUCCUGUUCUACACACAUACAACAUUAUUGGAAGAUCCAGAUCUGCUAAUUCUGUUCAAUAUUACACUCAAAAAGCCCAGCAGGAGAAAACAAGAGACCUACAGAAACCAGUUGAUGAUAAACUACGUAGGUUCAAAGACCAGCACAA